rnacentral:tRNA from 1 species
CUCUCUGUAGUUCAGUUGGUUAGAGCACUGCACCGGAAUCGCAGGGCCGCAGGUUCGAUUCCUGCCAGAGGGC